rnacentral:rRNA from 1 species
AUUGAACGCUGGCGGAAUGCUUUACACAUGCAAGUCGAGCGGCAGCACGGGGGCAACCCUGGUGGCGAGCGGCGAACGGGUGAGUAAUACAUCGGAACAUGCCCAGUCGUGGGGGAUAACACUUCGAAAGAAGUGCUAAUACCGCAUACGUCCUGAGGGAGAAAGCGGGGGAUCUUCGGACCUCGCGCGAUUGGAGUGGCCGAUGUCAGAUUAGCUAGUUGGUGGGGUAAAGGCCUACCAAGGCAACGAUCUGUAGCGGGUCUGAGAGGAUGAGCAGCCACAGUGGGACGGAGACCCGGCCCAGGCUCCUACGGGAGGCAGCAGUGGGGAAUUUUGGAAAAUGGGGGCAACCCUGAUCCAGCCAUUCCGCGUGAGUGAAGAAGGCCUUCGGGUUGUAAAGCUCUUUCGGCAGGAACGAAACGGCGAGCUCUAACAUAGCUUGCUAAUGACGGUACCUGAAGAAGAAGCACCGGCUAACUACGUGCCAGCCGCCGCUGUAAUAC